rnacentral:lncRNA from 1 species
GAAGUUCUCUAAUUCUUGCCACAAUUUUUUCAAAGUGGUGAAGAAUUGCGUGAUAGACGAAUGACCUUUCCGCAUAGUGAAUAUUUCUUCUUGGAGAUCUGAAACCCUAAAAAUGCCGCCUUUAUGGUAGUGAUCUUGUAACUCUUGACAGAUCUCGUGCACGGUCUCCAUCCACAUUACGCUUUCAGUUAUCACAGGUUCAAUUGAGUUGGUAAUCCAAGCCAUAAC